ACAUUUUUAAAUCAAGAUUAUCACUAUACCAAGAUAUUUAAUUAAAUCUCCUUCAAACAAACAAAAAAGAAAAAACUUAAAGAAUUAUCACUAUUUUAAAAUUUGUUAAAGUUGACGUAAAAAGAUAAGGCGGCGAUUUCAUUUGCUUAAUGUGACAUUUUUCGCAUUCAGGUUUUGGCUUGUCAACUCAUGAAUGCGAAUGUAAGAUAAAAAAAAGGGCGAACAAAAUGUUGUGGCCAGGAAAUUGCAAGCGUUUGGAGAAAAAAAGAAAAUACAAUAACGGAGAGAAAAAUCGAGUGGUGUGGAAUGAUCGCUAUCCCUGAGUUGAAUGUACACGUGGCAGUGUUUUCUUAGAGGGGCGGCAAGUGGCAGUGACGUGGCGAAAAGCGCAAAGGUGAAAGCGACACCCUCUAUGCCUCGCUCUUUUUGAUCCACACCCACUUAUUUUUAAGAUAUUUAACCCUUUUUCUCCUUCUCACAAAUAUCCUCUUUUUUUCUCAUUUCCAAACUGUCACAACCACACUCAUUAAUUAUUUUUUUCUCCU
rnacentral:lncRNA from 1 species